rnacentral:rRNA from 1 species
GACGAACGCUGGCGGCGUGCCUAACACAUGCAAGUCGAGCGAGAGACUUCGGUCUCUAGCGGCGGACGGGUGAGUAACACGUGGGUAACCUGCCUCCUCGAGGGGUAUAGCCUGCCGAACGGGAGAUGAAUACCGCAUAAUAUGUUUUGAUCACAUGAUCGCAACAUUAAAGGAGUAAUCCGCGAUGAGAGGGACCCGCGGCGCAUUAGCUAGUUGGAUAGGCAACGGCUCACCAAGGCGACGAUGCGUAGCCGACCUGAGAGGGUGAUCGGCGACAUGGGAACUGAGACACGGUCCAGACUCCUACGGGAGGCAGCAGUGGGGAAUAUUGCACAAUGGGCGAAAGCCUGAUGCAGCAACGCCGCGUGAGUGAUGAAGGCCUUCGGGUUGUAAAGCUCUGUCUUUUGGGACGAUAAUGACGGUACCAAAGGAGGAAGCCACGGCUAACUACGUGCCAGCCGCCGCCGUAACAC